rnacentral:tRNA from 4 species
GCGGGUGUGGCGGAAUCGGCAGACGCGCUAGAUUUAGGAUCUAGUGUCUUACGACGUGUGGGUUCAAGUCCCACCGCCCGCACCA